UCAGACCUAACCCAUGCAAGUCGAGCGGGAGCGCGGGGCAACCGAAAAAAGAAUGGCGAACGGGUGAGUAAUGCAUCGGAACGUGCCCGGUAGUGGGGGAUAGCUGCUCGAAAGAGCAGCUAAUACCGCAUACGACCUGAGGGUGAAAGGGGGGGAUGGCAAGACCUCUCGCUAUCGGAGCGGCCGAUGUCGGAUUAGCUAGUUGGUGGGGUAAAGGCCCACCAAGGCAACGAUCCGUAGCUGGUCUGAGAGGACGACCAGCCACACUGGGGGGGAGACACGACCCACACUCCUAC
rnacentral:rRNA from 1 species